rnacentral:rRNA from 1 species
UGGGGAAUAUUGGGCAAUGGCGACACGUCGACCCAGCAACGCCGCGUGAAGGAAGAAGGUCGUUCGGUUGUAAACCUCUGUCCUAUGGGACGAAGGAAGUGACGGUACCAUAGGAGGAAGCCCCGGCUAACUACGUGCCAGCAGCCGCGGUAAUACGUAGGGGGCGAGCGUUGUCCGGAAUGAUUGGGCGUAAAGGGCGCGUAGGCGGCCUGGUAAGUCUGGAGUGAAAGUCCUGCUUUUAAGGUGGGAAUUGCUUUGGAUACUGCUGGGCUUGAGUGCAGGAGAGGAAAGCGGAAUUACCGGUGUAGCGGUGAAAUGUGUAGAGAUCGGUAGGAACACCAGUGGCGAAGGCGGCUUUCUGGACUGAAACUGACGCUGAGGCGCGAAAGCGUGGGGAGCAAACAGGAUUAGAUACCCUGGUAGU